rnacentral:rRNA from 1 species
GGAGGUAGUGACAAUAAAUCUCAAUACGAAGCCUUUGGUUUUGUAAUUGAAUUGAGAACAAUGUACAAUCGUUAUCGAUAAACAAUUGGAGGGCAAGUCUGGUGCCAGCAGCCGCGGUAAUUCCAGCUCCAAUAGCGUAUAUUAACGUUGUUGCAGUUAAAAAGCUCGUAGUUGAAGUUAAGAUGGUUUGUUGAGGGUGUUAGUAUUCGUACUAUCUGCUCUCUUUGGAUUAUCGACUUCCAGGUAAGUAUAAUGUACCUUUCGGGGUUCGUUAUACCAGACUGGUCUUUUACUGUGAGAAAAUUAGAGUGUUUAAAGCAAACUUUUUUAGUUUGAAUAGAUUAGCAUGGAAUAAUAAGAUUGGCUUUCAUAGUCGAUUUUUUGGUUUGUUUAUGAAAGCAAGAUUAAUAGGGACAGUUGGGGGUAUUCAUAUUCAAUAGCUAGAGGUGAAAUUCUAUGAUUUAUGGAAGAUGAACAAGUGCGAAAGCA